CUCCCUUGGCCUCUCCCAUCUCGUCCGUUCCCUCCCAUGAGCUCUGGCUCUGCCGACGCGCUGGCCGGACCCGAGCGGCGGCAUUUGGCCGACCUCCCUCGCCCACCUAUUUAAGGCCUUCCCGAGACCCCCCGAACUCAACAGCCUCCUCACAGGCCUCCCAGUAGCCUUCCCGACCCCUUCCUUGAGCUCCAAGAGCUCCCGAGCCCUCCAAUUUCCGCCAUGGCUGCCUCUGGCCUCCUCCUAAAUUCGUGACAACCGAGCCCUCCCCCUCCUUCCUGACCUCACCAGAGAAACACCCGGGUCCCAUAGCUCCACCCCACCCCUUCACCUCAUCUCCGGAGCAGCCAUGGCCUCGACUCUAUCCACACCCGAAGCUCCCGUCCGCCAGCGUCGAAGCUUCAGUCGACUCGGUCCAUCCCGGCGACCGUGGAUGGGUCGUUCGACGCGUCGCUCGACGCUGAGCAUUUCCAUAGGCAGAGCCUUGCCGGAGGUGCCCUGUAGCUUCGGCAGGCCUCGUCGGGCCCGGCUCUUCCGUGGCUAGGCGCGGGCGAGAGGAAGGAUAUGACGCCUCCCCCGCCAGCUGGCCAUGGGCCCCAUGACCCCACUCGUCAGCUGCCACGCGUUGACCCCCAGAUAGGUCCCUGGCAGAAAACACAUCAUAAAUUUUUGCUCACAACUCCAAACGAGCCCCCUCCGAGAGAGAACAGUUUCCGGCGAUUCUUUCCGCGAGCUUCUCGCACUUCCUCCCGAUGAAUCCCUCCAUCCCAGGCAAGCCACACCCUCGAUUUGCAUGAUUACAAUGCAGUGACAUGGUUUAAAUUAUUUGAAAUUGUUUAAAAUAUUGUUUUAGCUACUUGUGAUUUGUUCAUGGCAUUUCUUGGAGUAUUGUUUGAUCUUGUUAUAGCCAUGAUAUUGUUUGGAGUUCUAGGACUAAUAUUUUGCAACUUAUGUGGAUGACAUGUUGCCUUUGGAUUCUUAGUGGCUAUUAUGAUUAUUUUCAUGAUGGUAUUAUGCUUUGGAGUAUUACUUUGCAUGUCAUGUUGCCUUUUGAUUAUUAGUGGCUAGUAUUAUUUUCAUCAUGAUGCUAGUUGAUAUUAUGUUUUGGAGUAUGAUUUCGGAGAUGAUGCUUGCAUGUGGAUCUUAGCUGGAUAGCUUGUUCUUGCUAUUGGAGUAGUAGUAUUAUCGUUCUUGGAUUCAUUAUGAUAGUAGUGUUAUGCUAUCCUCAGAGUAUUUCGAUAUGACGAUAAGAUGCUUUGGAUUAGUUGUUGGAUAUUGUUAUGCUUUGAUUUCAGGUUGAUAGAUGAUAGGAGUAUCAAUUUCACUGUUAUAUUUUGGGGAUAAAUUCUGUCAUUAAGUUGGUGAGGUGCCACCGAGCUGGGAUUUUCCAGUGCAACCACAUUUGCCUUUUAUGGGAAGGCCCUAAUGCGGUCUAUUAUCGUGCCUCUCGCUGGUGCCUCCAACGAGGGAAUGUUAUGCGCGGGCGCUACCUUGGCCGGGUAGGACGACAUAAGCCGUGUGUGCCCAUGGUUGGUUUUGAGCUCAUGUCCCCGUUUGGGACCGUUUAUUGUUUUUCCAUGACGGUGGCCAUUGAUGCCUUUGGUAGGCACGGCGCCACCCUUGACUUACCCCAGAAGGGAGUUAGUCGGAGUGGCCGGGAGAGUGUCAUGGCAGUAGAUCGGUUUUGUCAGAACGCCUUUGGUCCACCCGAAUGGGAGUGCGAUGCCAUUGGUUCUAUGGUGUGAGUAAAGUGUGCUACCUCUAUAGAGUGUGUGUGUUUAAUCUAUUGAUAGCUGCGACCUUGGUCAUGGGCACAAGUUCGUACUAGGACACACCGUUCGAUCAACACUCACAUGAUGAAAUGACUUAUAGAUGAUUUAUAUGUUGAUAUAUUGUGAGCACUAACAGUUUGGCAGGAUGAUGAUGAUGAUGAUGAUGUUGGAAUGAUCUCGAGGAUGAUCAUUUAGUUGGUGAUGUGGUCACGAGGUGAUCACGUGGAUGUUUUGAUCACAAGGUGAUCAGGUGGAUCACGAGGUGAUCGAGAUGGUAUAUUGCUUGGCCGGAUAGCCAAGAGUGAGAUGGUUAUGGAGAUCGAAGAUGGUGGUUUAUCAGUAUGAUAGUAGUUUCAUAUCAUGUUUAGUAGUUGAUUUCGUAUCAUAGUAGUUGUUAAUUAAUUAUCUGCAAAUGCUAUGUUGUUGUUUUGCCUUGAUGCUUUUGGUUGUUGUGAGCUUGCAAGUACAUUCAAUGUACUGACCUGGCGUGUCAUGCCAGAUUGCAGGUGAUGCCUUGAUUGAUUGAUUGCUUGUCGAGGUUUCCAUGCGUGUGAGCUAGAUCGUGUCAUAGCCAGAGUCCCUGCGAAGUGGAUUUCACCACCUUCAUUGUUGUUUCACUGCUAGAUAUAUUCCACUUCUAUGAGUGGUUCCACUGCUAGCAUAGAGCAAGUGUUGUAUCACAGGCGUAGUGUCGCCAUGCUGAUGUGAUUCUUUGUAACAUCAUACCCAUGUAUUUAUUAUCCUUUGUAAUAAGAGAUGAUUUGUUCUAUGUCAAGCAGUGUCGUAUUCCAUAAGACUUUUCCUCGAUCUCUGGGCUGGAAUACGGGGCGUUCCGGUUUCUCUGAGCUGGGGUGCCACAGGCUUGGUAUCAGAGCAAGUCUGUCUAUAGGACGCCCUAG